rnacentral:rRNA from 1 species
GACGAACGCUGGCGGCGUGCCUAACACAUGCAAGUCGAACGGGGUGAUUUCCUUCGGGAGAUCACUUAGUGGCGAACGGGUGAGUAACGCGUGAGAAACCUGCCUUUCAGUGGGGGACAACAGUUGGAAACGACUGCUAAUACCGCAUAAUGUUAUUUAGGGGCAUCCCUGAAUAACCAAAGCUUUAUGUGCUGAAAGAUGGUCUCGCGUCUGAUUAGCUAGAUGGCGGGGUAACGGCCCACCAUGGCGACGAUCAGUAGCCGGUCUGAGAGGAUGAACGGCCACAUUGGGACUGAGAUACGGCCCAGACUCCUACGGGAGGCAGCAGUGGGGAAUAUUGGGCAAUGGGGGAAACCCUGACCCAGCAACGCCGCGUGAAGGAAGAAGGCCUUCGGUUGUAACGUUCUUUAGUAGGGUACGAAUACAUGACGGUACCUACAGAAAAGACAACGGACUAACUACGUG